GAUGAAGAACGCAGCGAAAUGCGAUAAGUAAUGUGAAUUGCAGAAUUCAGUGAAUCAUCGAAUCUUUGAACGCACAUUGCGCCCGCCAGUAUUCUGGCGGGCAUGGCUGUUCGAGCGUCAUUUCAACCAUCAAGCCCCCGGCUUGUGUUGGGGACCUGCGGCUGCCGCAGGCCCUGAAAACCAGUGGCGGGCUCGCUAGUCACUCCGAGCGUAGUAAUACAUCUCGCUCAGGGCGUGCUGCGGGUUCCGGCCGUUAAAAAGCCUUAUUUACCCAAGGUUGACCUCGGAUCAGGUAGGAAGACCCGCUGAACUUAAGCAUAUCAAUAAGCGGAGGA
rnacentral:misc_RNA from 1 species